rnacentral:misc_RNA from 1 species
UUCUUUUAUAUAUAUCUAUCCCUGUGUUAGCUUGUUCUUUGAGACUGUAUGAUGUCAGUGUGGAAUCUUUGAAUGUUAUCAGUUUGUGGUAGAGGCCUUUGAUACAUCAUACCAGGCUAGUGUUGCUUAGUGUGAUUGUUAUCAGUUGUGGUAGAGGCCUUCCAGACAUCAUACCAGUUUUAGUAGAUGCUUAGUGUGAUGCUUUAGUUUAAUUUGAAAUUG